AAUAGGGCGAAUCAGUCGCUGGGUGUAGACCCGAAACCAAGUGAUCUAUCCAUGGCCAGGAUGAAGGUGCCGUAACAGGUACUGGAGGUCCGAACCCACUACUGUUGCAAAAGUAGGGGAUGAGCUGUGGAUAGGGGUGAAAGGCUAAACAAACUUGGAAAUAGCUGGUUCUCUCCGAAAACUAUUUAGGUAGUGCCUCACGUAUUACCUUCGGGGGUAGAGCACUGUUUUGGCUAGGGGGUCAUGGCGACUUACCAAACCAAGGCAAACUCCGAAUACCGAAGAGUAGCAGCGUGGGAGACAGUGCACCGGGUGCUAACGUCCGGACACGAGAGGGAAACAACCCAGACCGCCAGCUAAGGUCCCUAAAACCGGCUAAGUGGGAAACGAAGUGGGAAGGCUAAAACAGUCAGGAUGUUGGCUUAGAAGCAGCCAUCAUUUAAAGAAAGCGUAAUAGCUCACUGGUCGAGUCGGCCUGCGCGGAAGAUGUAACGGGGCUCAAACCAUACACCGAAGCUACGGGUAUCACCUUCGGGUGAUGCGGUAGAGGAGCGUUCUGUAAGUCUGUGAAGGU
rnacentral:rRNA from 1 species